GACGAACCUGACAAACGUUAUUCGGAAUCACUGGGCUUAAAGGGUGCGUAGGCGGCGCGGCAAGUUGGGUGUGAAAUCCCUCGGCUCAACCGAGGAAUAGCGCCCAAAACUGCCGUGCUCGAGGGAGACAGAGGUGAGUGGAACUUAGGGUGGAGCGGUGAAAUGCGUUGAUAUCCUAAGGAACUCCGGUGGCGAAAGCGACUCACUGGGUCUCUUCUGACGCUGAGGCACGAAAGCUAGGGGAGCGAACGGG
rnacentral:rRNA from 1 species